rnacentral:rRNA from 1 species
AUGACCAGGGCUACACACGUACUACAAUGGCCGGUACAAAGGGCAGCCACUUAGCGAUAGGAAGCCAAUCCCGUAAAGCCGGUCUCAGUCCGGAUUGGAGUCUGCAACUCGACUCCAUGAAGUUGGAAUCGCUAGUAAUCGCGGAUCAGCACGCCGCGGUGAAUACGUUCCCGGGCCUU